UAUGUUGGCGAGUACCGGUAACGGGGAGGCGCUGCUCGGCGCGGGGGAGAGGCGUCCCCAGCGGCCGCCCCGCCGGCAUGGGGGGCAGCGAGAGCAGGCAGGGCGGCAGGAAGGUGUCCUUCGGGCUGGACGAGCGGGAGCAAGUCCGGGUGCUGCAGGGCAUCAGGCUCACUGAAGAUGUAGUGAAUCGAAUGAAAGAAUCUCAGAGUAAAAGGGACAACCAGAGAUCGCCCCUCUCAACCAGUGAUACAGUUCCAUUUUCAACAGCUGCAGAAGGGAAACCCAAAUCUCCUACAGGAAUCCAGCCACCAACAGCAAGUAACUCUGGUCAGAAGGCUACGGUUGCAGAGCAGGAAUUGUACAGGAGGUAUGAGCAGGAGCAGGCACUUGUCCAAGAGGAGCUGCUCCGGCUGGCGAAAAGAGAAAGGGAAGCAGCUGGUGAGACACUGAGUGCUGCUCUUCAGCGGGAAAGGAACAGCACUAACGAAGAGAGGAAGAAAGCAGCUCAGCUGCCUGUGGAUUUGGACGCCUGGGUCAUGGAGCUGCAAGGCAGGGAGGCAGAGCUGAAGCGGCAAGAGGCCUUCUAUAAGGAGCAGUUGGCCCGCAUUGAGAGGAAGAAUGCAGAAAUCUACAAGCUGACGUCCGAGCAGUACCAAGAGGCAGCCACCAAGGCAGAGGAAUGGAUAAAGAGGAGGAACACUGAUCCUGUCUGUGCAAGUCUGCAGUCUGAAAUUCUGAAGUGCUACCAAGAAAACCAACGUGAAGUGCUCAAAUGCUCGGAGCUGGCUAAGGAGUAUCAGCGCUGUGUUAGUGCGGCUCAGAAGGCAGGGCAGCAGUCGAGAUGGGGCAAGAGGAAUGGUGAGUCCAAGGACCGGCACAACAGAUGACAGUGUGUGAAAUAGCUGAAGAUUUGUCAGCACUCAGUAUCAUUGACUGGUGAGGAGCCUAACCCAUUGGAGGAGAUACCUGACAGCAUCAGGACUCAAUACCAGUGAUUGUCAGCUGGAGAAAUAUGGUGACUGUGCUUAGAAUAAGUUAAUAAUAGGUCUACUUUAGACUCUGCUCUGGAGAGAGAAGAAACACACAGAUUGAGGAGGCUACUUCACAGUUCUCCGGAACUGCUCAGAUAAAACUGGAGUAACAAACCCUUUUGAUUGGAGGCAGAAAGUCCUCCUGUAGCAUCUCAGCACUUGUUUUGUCUGAAUUCCCUUCUACUUAAAGUAGUAGUUCAGACUCUGCAGUUGGAGACUGGUUUACAUUAGCGAAAUGAUAUGCGUGAACGAAAGAAGAAUUGACUGCUGGGGUGGAUGGAUUUGGCCUUCUGUUCUGAGUCUGCCUUUUUUCCCAAGGAUCCGUGUUUCUUGGAUUCCGACGAGGUGUGUUCAGUUGCUGUCCCUGUAACAGUUUGCUCAGUAUUUGUGGAAGAGGUUGUGCAUUUGAAGUGGGUGGGGAAUGGAAACAAGAGUUGGCACCGUGCAGCUGAUUUCUCCUCUGCAGUGCUACAUAUUCAGUUGUCAUAUUCUCCUCUCCUUUCUGAAAGUUUUUGGUUUCAUGUCUUAAAAUAGCUAGCAGAGAAAGAGGGCUCAUUGCCUACCAGGAUAGGCCUCCCCCAGCCGUGCUCUUUCAGCUCCUUCCACUCCUUCCUGCCCUGGAGAUGGCUGUGCUGGAGCUGUGAGCCCCUUGCAUGCGUCUGCCUGUGUCCCCUGUCCGCACAUGCAGUACUGUGUACACCACACUGCAAGCCUGAUUUGGCACUGUUCUUCCUCUUAGACGUGUUCUAAGAGGAAGGCUAGCUCUUAGAGCAGCUCUAGGCUGCUCUUUACACACUGUUAGUUUUUCUGAAAAAUGACACACCUCCACAUUCUUUCUAGGGCAGGUUCUGCACAUGGGGGAGCUCUGGUCACAAAAUUGCCUGAACUUGUGCUCUAAGGUUGCCACAGUUGCUGCACCCAUGGAGGCUGUGCCAGAGCUGGGAGAACUCCUUGGGAAAGCAAACAAGCCGCUACAGUUCUGGCAUGUGACCUUGCUUGGGCUACAGUAAGAAAGCGGCUCCAAAAAAGCAGCAGGAAGGGUUUGCCCAAAGUGGCUUUCGUGUGUAAGUUAUUAAGGAUUUGACCCUGGCUCUCUAGAUGUAAGAGGCUGCAUUAGCUCCCUACUUCAUCUCUUGCCAAGUCUGAAAAUCCAAGUACUUACCAGGAGCUGUUGCUUGCAUGACCUUCAUGCAUGAAACAGUUUCUCUUUUAAAAUGUUUUUUCCCCUUUAUCAGUUAUUCAUUGAAGAGUCUCUGCAUCUGUAGAAUUUUGAAGGGUAGCUAUUAUUUUACCAUUUUAAUUUUCCCAGCUGUUCAAAUAAUUGUUUUAACCUCUCAGUGCCUGGGAAAUGCUUUCUGCAUUCCUGUUUGCUCUGCACUGUAUUUCUUUGGCUUCACGUUUUAAACUACUAAAACUAAAUUUUCCCCCGGUCCAGGUGGUCAUCCCAUGUCUUCCUCCUCUACAGCUUUAAUGGUACGUUGGUCUGAACGAGACCCUGGGAGUAAGGAGCUCACAACCGUCCUCUUUGUGGUACUGGCUCAGAUUUCAUCACCUUGGAUUUCAUUUUUGAUUUCUUUCUUUUCCAAUAAAUGUUGCUUUUCUUAAGCGCAUCUUUAAAGGCUUUGCCACAGGGACAGAGGUAGAAUUUGAAAAUUGAGUAGCAGUGGUGUGGCAUCUUGAAUGCAUUGCUAUAGUUUCUCUUGCAUGCGUUUUUCACGUGUUCUGAAAGUUCCAAAAGGUGAUUUAUAAUUUAUCAAACUAAGCAUAAAACAUCUGACUGCGAAACCUAUCAAUCUGAUCCCAUCUCUUUCUAGCCCUUUAAUUAGGGAAGCCCUGCUGAAAAAUGUACCCAUCAACUACUGAGAAAUGGUGCGUUCCUGGACCCUUGGUAUAAAUCUUCAGUUAUCCAGGUGCCAAAAUGCUGUCAGAACUGACAGAUCUUAGAAAAUACACCCACAGGCAGAACAUUAUCCAUUAUACUAGCACUGAGCAGUGGGCAGUAAGGAAAAAUCAGCAGAGGAUGUGUCUUUAUCAACUUUAAUUGGCUUUUCCCGUUGAUAAAAAUCAGGGUACCCAGCAAGGAGGAGAACCUAUCUAGCAGUUUGAUCUUUCCAUCCCCGAGCUGAAGGGAGCAGUCCAUCUCCACUGACGUGUGAUGUGGACUUGUCUCAGCGCGGCUCCUAGCAGCACAGCAGUCUGCAACCUAUGGAGAAGGCUGCCAGCCUGUCUUCGGUGAGCCACCGUGCUUAAACAAGCGUGAAGAAUGAAUUACUCUGGAUAAGUUGGGUUUCAUCUGUGCUCUUGUCGCUUGAAAUGCACUUGGAGAGAACCAAAGAGCUUUUAGUUAACUCUGGAUAAACAUCAGCCACCAAAGAGCAGAGGACAGGGACCACAGAUGCUGCUGGAAGGCCCAGCAUCCUUCUGGAUAGACGCUGACCAAAACUGGUGCCUUCUGUCCUUCAUGGUCCAAGACAACGAUAUGAUUCCUCCUCUAACGGCCUGCAUGUAUUGGUCUAUGUGGAUGCCUCUGGAGCCAGGUGGAGGGUCUUAGGAGAGGGGAACACUUGCUUCAUUUUUGUAUUGUAACAGAAUGGAAAGAAUUGCCUUGACCCCAGCACAGCUUGUCACUUGGAGGCAUACCCCACACAGGCCUGGUUCACCCUGUGCUAGCUUUGGUUUCACCAUCCCCAUCUGAGUUCAAGAGUUAUCUUUGUCCGUUUGCUCCAGAAUUAGGGGUCUGAAGCACUUGGAAAUAACCCUGACUAGCUUGCUGGGAUUAACUGUUCCUCGCAUGCUCUGAUUGGCUCCACCAGCAGGCGUGUUCCUUCCCUUCCAAGGUUCUCUCCUAAACAAUAAAGUGUUUAAUGGUCACUG